CUUUAUUUCAGGAAUUCCCGAUCCUGACGCUGCUGGUGCAAAGCAUGUGAUAAUAUAUACAGAAGAUAAUACUAGAACCAGGUUGAUCAAAAUAUACACCAGAAAUCCAGCAAAGUAUGACUUCUGAAUAAUUUGAAAUGUUAAUGAGAACUUCCAUCCCGCAAAAUUUUCAACAGAAAGAUUAAUGAAAACAGCAGCAAGUCCUGUGCCAAUUCCAAUAAGCAACGCCAAGAACCACUUAACCAAAACAACAUAUCCCAUAUAAAGCUUUCCUCUUUUAGCCUGCUCUUCCCUAUAAGCAAAAUUUUCAACAACUUCAUAAUCAAGACUUUCCACAGUGCUCCCAUUACCCUUUCUUGAUGGACCCACCUCACCGACUUCCUCCUCCUCUGUCGCCGGAAUCCGUGACCACAUCAGCUUCGCCGUCUCCACCCCGUUCUGAAAAUGAUCUGAUAACAUCUUCAACCUCCCUGAUACACUAUAUAUAGGUCUUAUGAACCCCCAAAACCUCAAAAAUUCGAACCCCUCGUCGAAUAACCCCAAAAUUAGAGGCGAG
rnacentral:misc_RNA from 1 species